UCAGAGUCUAAGACCCAAAAUCCUCUACCCUCAACUUCUUCAUCUUCCUGCCUUACAUCACUAAACAUGGAAGACGCAGGUUCCAUUUAGUUAGUCAUUGGAAUGUUCUUCAUGGUUUUGAGUUUUGGUUUAGUUCUCAGAUCAACCAGGAUUGCAAAACUCAAAUCAGUUCUCAGAUCAAUCGGCAAAACUCAAAUUACGGGUUCUGUAGCAGCUGAAUGGAGGUAAUCAUUAGAAGCUAAUGUUAUUGGAAUUUAAUCUGCAACGAAUCAAGUUGGAGGUAAUUCUCACCAUCUUCAUCCCAAUUUAAUAGAGUUGGGUUGUAUCGAUAAUCAUCAAAGUUGUCCUUGCACAAGGUGGAGGAAUUGCGCGUCGUCGGUCCCAGAAAUCUUUUUUGGAAAUUUGACAAGCUCAUCUGAGAAGACAUACUUUACAUAAUUGACAAAUUGAGUUUUACCACCGCUAGGCCUGAGUUUCGUCCAUCAAACAACGAACGAGGUGGUUUUUAUUAGGUGGAACACUGCUGUGGCCACUCUUGAUGCUUACUCCAUGUCGAUUCCUCUGCCAGAAAUUAUCUUUUAUCACAUAUGAAGGUCUAAACUUCAAAACGUAUCUCACAGGUAAAACAUUUUACAGAUAAACUAUAUUUGCCGUAACAUUGAUAUCAUAACCUAGGGUGAUAAUCACUUAUUAUUAGAAAUUUUGGACUGCAACAACAUGCUGAAAACCAUAACCAACAUUCGAAUAGAUGCAUGAACUCACCAUUGAGAAUCUUAGGUUUGUGUUCUUUGCACUUUUUUGUUUCAUUAAUCAUGCCAUAGUAUGAACAUGCAAAUUUCCCUAACCACACAACAAUUUUCUGUAUGGGUAAGAAACUGAAUAUUAUCUCUAGGGGUCUUUUGCACACCGGGUGGGAAAUGUUCCAAUUAGUUCAAACUCCAACCGGCAACCCUGGUCCUUCUGAGGUUGUUGUUUGCUCCACUUUUAUGAAGAGAUAUCAAAGUUAUGCUCUCUGUUGGAUACUCUGUUCGCAUAUAACUUUUGAAUUUUAUUUAAGUACUUCUCAAGACCAUUGUAAGUAGCUUUUGAUGGGGCUCACACUGGAAUAUGCACCCUCUCUUCCACUAUUGCCACCAGAGUGUACACGAAUAUCGACAUGCCAAAAGGUGCUUGGAUGGCAGGCCCCUGUCAUAUUACUAUUGCGAGCAAAAAGGGAAAGCACCCAUUGAAAUUCUGGAUGCUGAUAACUACACAGUAGCCAGAUUACUUCCUACCGAAUGGGGCCUGCCUCCACCAAAAAUACCAUGCAUGCAUUCCAAUUAGGCACACUUUGAUUUACCCAGGUUUUCAUGGAUUAAAACUCAAUUUUAUCCAUGUAUUUAGCCUGCCAAUGUGUUGUGCUAAAAAUAUCCUAAUGGAGACUGGUUGGUAAUAUCUUGAUUGCCGUGGGUGUAGCGAGAAAGUUGUUGGUGAGGAUGGUAAUCUUUGGUAUGCAAAAUUUGAGACCAAAGUCGACAUUCCCACAGCCAAGUACCUUCUCCAUUUUGAAAUUGAAGAUGCAACUGGUACCGACAUGUUUGGGGCUCCGAACAGUGAGGUCCAUAACAUGGUUCAAUACACUUACACUUCCUCUGAAAUCAUCCCUUAGAGGAAUCAACGAAGGAUGCAAUCCUUUCUGGGUUCUCACCACUUCUUCACCAGGCUGUGGGUUCUUUGGUAACUUUGAACUCAUUCAACAUGGUCCACCUUCUUCCCCUUAUUGAAGCGUUUAUUUUUUGCUUCCGUCUAGGAGGAAAUCCAAGUCCAAAUCUGGGGGUAAUAUUAAGCAUCCAAGAAGCGCUGCGUAGUUGUUCUGCCUUACCACAGGCUUUGCACAUGGAAGAUAGUUAUGCUUGCGUCCCAUCGACUAAAUCAAUGUUUGGGAGAUGGUUAUGCUUUAUUAUCUCUUUUGCCUUCUCAUAGUUGGUGUUAUGUGUUCUUUAUUCCCGCUUUAGUCAUGAACACUAAUUCCUUUUGCAUUUUGGUUGUGCAAGUUAUCAGGUUGCAUUUUGGUUGUGCAAGUUAUCAGGGUCCGGCCGUCCUCAUACGUUUGGAUGUGGAUUGUAUUUGAAAUGUUUGUGGUUUAUAUUUAAGGACAUUCCAAGCUGUUGGUAAUCACUGAUCGGAUCUUUCAAACAUUCCAGGCUAUCUAAUCAGAAAAGUAAUACUAUUUAUAGUGUGCAGCAACAACCGACACUCUCACAUAACCGAUCAGUAAAACCAUCAAACAAUCAACAUUUCGAAGAGAAACAAAUGCUCAAGUAUUUUAAUAAUAAUGUCGUGAUGUCCCAAAAGAAACCAAUAAAGUAGUUCAUCGAUUUGCUAAAGAUGCAAAGCUGCAAGUUAAUUCUGUUUUCUGGUCCGAGAUCCUACCAAUAUGGCUACCCUCUCUUAUCACAGAGAUACUUGAUGUAACUCGAUGAGUUUUUUAGUGAAAGGUUUAUCCUUUUUAAAAAAAUAAAUAAAUCAUCAUUUCGAUA